rnacentral:rRNA from 1 species
CAGUCGGCCGCGGUAAUACGUAGGGUGCGAGCGUUAAUCGGAAUUACUGGGCGUAAAGCGUGCGCAGGCGGUUUUGUAAGACAGGCGUGAAAUCCCCGGGCUCAACCUGGGAAUGGCGCUUGUGACUGCAAAGCUAGAGUGCGGCAGAGGGGGAUGGAAUUCCGCGUGUAGCAGUGAAAUGCGUAGAUAUGCGGAGGAACACCGAUGGCGAAGGCAAUCCCCUGGGCCUGCACUGACGCUCAUGCACGAAAGCGUGGGGAGCAAACAGGAUUAGAUACCCCCGUAGUCCCUGUCUCUUAUA